UACGUAGGUGGCAAGCGUUGUCCGGAUUUACUGGGCGUAAAGAGCGCGCAGGCGGUCGUCCAAGUCGCGUGUGAAAGCCCCCGGCUCAACUGGGGAGGGUCACGCGAUACUGGUCGACUCGAAGGCAGGAGAGGGUAGUGGAAUUCCCGGUGUAGUGGUGAAAUGCGUAGAUAUCUGGAGGAACACCGGUGGCGAAGGCGGCAUCCUGGACCGGUAUUGACACUGAAAAGCGAAAGCCAGGGGAGCAAACGGG
rnacentral:rRNA from 1 species